rnacentral:lncRNA from 1 species
GUCACCUUGCAGGCAGUGUGUUCCAGAUGGCAUUGCUACCGGGGAAGAAAGAUCUACAAACACCCUGAACUUUGCAAUAGUGAGGAACACACUUUAUGGAGAUGUUGGAUUUUGUCUGCUGCCGCCGCCAGGACUAUCUUCCUUGAUUCAAUUUGUUACGUGACAUGAAACAUACAGAUAGAGACCUCUUUAAUUUUACAGUAAAUCGUGUGAUUAAGGUGCUGUUCUAUUGCUAUGAGAUUCCUCAGGGUGCCGAUAUCAAAAGCCUGGGUGUCCUCCUCUCCACCACCUUCGUCGUUGUAACUGACAAUGUUAUCUCUGAUGUCCUCUUUGGAAAUGAUCAAAGGCUCUUUUUUUCGCUGCCGCCUCAGAGCUGCAAACAGCACCACUGUCACUGGAAGCAGAAAACAAAACAGAAAGGGAAGGAAAAGUUAAUUUGCUGCCCAAUUAAUGUCAGGAAGAAACACUGUGCUCAAAUGUGAAGUUUUAAAAGUUCUCUAGAAAAUGCAGACUCAACUUUUAUUUCUUUAAGGAUGCACUUGCCUCCAUCCAUGAUCAAACCGGGACCCAUAAAAUGGAGUAAAUAUUUGAAAGAAGGUUAUAAUUUAAGUAGAGGAUAAAACACCAUCAUAUUUUGGCAGUAGUUCCUUUUUACUUUGAAAUGGCAAACUAGUUUCAAGGUAAGGAAAAAAAUAAUAAAGAAAAGAAGCUCGGCCUCAGUGAAAGUACUGCAAUCAGGGUGCAAAUUAUGCUGAACACCUAAAAUGCUCUGAAACUGGUUACAAGGACAAGACUGGCACCUUUGGGAAUGUGUUGAAGGGUUUGCACAACUCCACAUCUAAAAUAACUUUUGCGCUAUGCCUUUUUUUUUUUUACCUGAGAAAAGUGUAAAAUUAGUUUAAAAUCCAAAGUAGACACUGAAUAUUUGCAUACCUUUCCUACAUAUAAAGCAAUAUUAUUCCAGAAAAUACCUGGAGAGACCCAGAUAUAAUUCAGAAAGCCAUUUUGGAUUUUGAGAUUGGCUAAUUUGAAGGGGGCAGGUAAGAAUCCACAUGCCAUAUUAUUUCUGUUUGAGCUAAAUGAAAUAAAUACAUGUAAGUGAGAUUUUUUAUUUUUUAUUUUUCAAAGGUUCAUGUUCUAUAAGUUUGUUACUGAGAAUGUUCAUUCUUUUGAUUUUUUCCCUCCUAACUCAAAUUAGAGGUAAAACAAGAAUUGCGUUUAAAUAGCUCCUGAUCUUUCUUCACAGCUGGCUGGGUGGAACACAGCUGGCUACUUGUAGAGAGACACAUCUAUCUAUGAAUGGACAUAUGGGUGAAAAAAUAAAAACACAGUAAAAGCUUAGAGAGAAAACAGCCAUCUAGGCCAAAAAGUGAAUUGUUAAACUGGGUUUGUGCAGAGGAGUGUAUUACAGGAAGUCACAGUAAUGUCUCUUUACUAUUUUAUCCAUAACAAGGCCCAAUUUUUAUGAGACAUGAAAACUGAAUUACUGCAAUAAGAAUUACAGAAUAAUGCCUUUUUAGUGAGUACACAAAACUACCUAUAUAAUAAUAGAUGUAGGCACACCCAUGUAUCUAUAUAUUAAAAUUUCAUUAGUAUUAAUAAUAAUAAUUGGUUACCCGUUGAGAGCUUUCCAUGUGUUAAGCCCUGUACUAAGUGCUUAACAUACUGAAUCUCAUUUAAUUAUCAUAAUAGCCCUACAAGUAGAUACCAUCAUUAAAACCCCAUUUUACAUAAGAGGAAGUUGAAGUUUAAAGAUGUUACAGGUACAUGCAAUUCAAAUUCAGGUUGGUCAGACUAAAAAGCCUGCAUUCAUAAUUGCCAUGUUUUGAAGCAGAUUUGGAGUAUAGACUAUUUCCAAAGGAAAUGUAACUUUGCCACUUUCAAGUGUGUGGUUUUGUAGUUGUAUGCACCCUCUUUUGCUGCCAGAAAGUAUCCUGAUGCCUUGUUUGAUGCAACCAUUCAGGGUAUUUAUUCAUUCACGCAUUUGAUAAUAUUUAUGUAGUGCCUACCCUGUACCAGGUACAGUUCUAGGCACUGAGUGGGUGGGUGGGGUGGGGGACAGUUGGAUGGAGACAAAAUAAACAAUGUGUGUAGUAAAUAAGGAAAUUGUUAGAAGGUGAUAAGUGCAAUAUGAACAUGAAAGAGCAGAGCAGAACAAGGUGGAGAAAAAUACUUCUGUAUAUGUUUGAGGAGCCCAUAUGAACAUACAGCACAGUUUUUUUUUUUUUUUUUUAAGACAGAAUCUCACUCUGUCACCCAGGCUGGAGUGCAGUGGCACGAUCUCAGAUCACUACAACCUCUGCUUCCCAGGUUCAAGCAAUUCUCCUGCCUCAGCCUCCUGAGUAGCUGGGAGUACAGGCACCCACCACCAUGCACAGUUAAUUUUUGUAUUUUUAGUAGAGACGAGGUUUCACCAUGUUGGAUUAGGCUCGUCUCGAACUCCUGACCUCAAGUGAUCCACCUGCCUCGGCCUCGCAAAGUGUUGGGAUUACAGGCGUGAACCACCAUGCCCAGCCAGCACAGUUUUGUAUAUGUUAUCGGAGGGAGGUUGCAUAAUUUGAGCAAAGACAUGAAGAGCACUGCAGGGCUUUGGGCAGAGGGAUGCUCAUGAUCUACCUUUCAUACUGGUUGCCAGUGUGAACAAUGACACGGAUUUGCAAAACAGAGGGUUGGAAGUAAGGACAUCCAUUGGGAUUAGAGAACAGAAUCAAGCCAACUGUCUCUCCAAGAAUUAAGCUCUUAUGUACAUGGGCUCAUUCAGUCACGUAAGGCAAGGGGCAGGCAUUUAUCACCUCCUAAUUCUUCCCUGGCUUAAGGUAUCUAUAGCUUUUAUUUUAGUCUUAUGCACGUCUGAAAGCGCAACUGUCUAGAAGGGAGAGGGCACUUUCAAAAAAUCAAAGGCAUUUAUUCAAGGUCUAAUUCUUCUACAGCUAAAACUGCUUAUAUCUUUUCUCAUUAGCCCAAUGCACAUCUGAACAGGAUUUCUUGAGAGUGUCGCUGUCUAGAAGGAGAGCUCUCAGAGCUAACUUUUAUAAAGUGAAAAUGUGAUUGCUAAGCACAUGGGGCAAACACAUUCUUAGAAAGUGAUGCCCUAUGAGGUGCCCUCAGCAGGAACUGAGUCUCCCCCUUUCCCUUACCCUUUUGAAGCCAGAGGACAGCAGUAAGAUUUUUGGCGGAAUAGAGGGACAAUUGGGCAAAUUUGUGUUCAAAUUUCAUCGUAAAACUAGAGGGUAAAGAGAUCUGGGUUAAAUUAAAUGAUUUGACCGUUCUAAGCCUAUUUUCUUAUUUGUAAAAGAAAAUUAAUAGCACAGUGCCCAGUCUUAUUGUCAUGAAUGAGUUAAUAAAUGUGAAAGUUUUGCAAGUUCUAAGGCACCAUAAGACAUGAGAUGUAGUAGUUGUCUAGUUGUUUUUACUGUUGUUUUAUUUUUGUAAAAUAUCCAUUACCAUAUGAUCCACUUUCUGGACUCCAGAUUUCUUCCUAUAUCAAUGUGGCUUUGCUUCAUUUUCCUCCACUUUCUUCAAUCGUCACAUUUUAAGUUUGGGCUGUCUUUUGGCCUGGAAAUCGCCCUGCAUUUCAUAAGUUUGAAAAGAAAGUAGAGUGCAGUCUUCAGGCACCAAGCCUGGGGAAGAAAAUUUAGGUUGGGAACUUUAGUUUUACCACGUGUUAGACACGUGACUUGGCUACAUUACUUCACAUCUUGGAGCUGCAGUUUUCAUAUUUAAGGUACAGAUAAUUAUACACCAAAUGGUGCUGAGGAUUAGGUGAGAAAAACCUUUGUAAAGCAUCUUGCACAGCAUCUGACCUAUGGUGUAUACCUAACAAAGGCUAAAUCCCAUUUUUCUCCUUUUUUAUUAGGUACAGAAUUCCAAAGAGAUUAAACAAGAUGUGGGAGGCACUGAGGCCAAUUACAAGUCAUGAGGAGACAGUGAAUUCAUGGGAGGAAGGAAAUGAAAGGCGGAGGUAGAUGAUGACAGAAAGGAAGAAUCACCACUGUCAGAUGAGAGUUAUCUCUCCUUCCACAGAUGACAAAAAGAGUCCAUGGAAUACUCCUUGGGUACAGCCCUACCAAUCCAAGGCUUCUAAAAAAUCACCCUUUUGAUCAAAAAGAACAUUCAUAUCUUUCUCUUCCAAAACAAUGCUUACAGACUCACACCAUUAGAAACACUGAUUUGUCUUUGCACACUGUCAGUUUUUAUUUAUGUGCAUAUCUUAAAA